UGAACGACUCUCGGCAACGGAUAUCUCGGCUCUUGCAUCGAUGAAGAACGUAGCGAAAUGCGAUACUUGGUGUGAAUUGCAGAAUCCCGUGAACCAUCGAGUCUUUGAACGCAAGUUGCGCCCGAGGCCUUCUGGCCGAGGGCACGUCUGCCUGGGCGUCACGC
rnacentral:rRNA from 2 species